rnacentral:rRNA from 1 species
GACAGAGGGUGCAAACGUUGUUCGGAUUUACUGGGCGUAAAGCGCGUGUAGGCGGCUAAGCAAGUCGGACGUGAAAGCCCUCGGCUCAACCGGGGAAGUGCAUUCGAAACUACUUAGCUAGAGUCUCGGAGAGGAAGGUGGAAUGCUUGGUGUAGAGGUGAAAUUCGUAGAUAUCAAGCGGAACACCGGUGGCGAAGGCGGCCUUCUGGACGAUGACUGACGCUGAGACGCGAAAGCGUGGGGAGCAAACAGG